CACGUAGGGCGCAAGCGUUGUCCGGAAUUAUUGGGCGUAAAGAGCUCGUAGGCGGUCUGUUGCGUCUGCUGUGAAAACCCGGGGCUUAACCCCUGGCUUGCAGUGGAUACGGACAGACUAGAGGUAGGUAGGGGAGAAUGGAAUUCCCGGUGUAGCGGUGAAAUGCGCAGAUAUCGGGAGGAACACCGGUGGCGAAGGCGGUUCUCUGGGCCUUACCUGACGCUGAGGAGCGAAAGCCAGGGGAGCAAACGGG
rnacentral:rRNA from 1 species